GUAAGGAAACCCUGAGGGACUUGAUUGUAAAAUUGUUCAUUUAAAGGGGUUCGAGGACGACGGGCACUUUCACAAAAAUUAGGGUUCGGCAGCGACUAAUUGGAGAGAGCGCGGCAUCGAAAGACCAAAGAUUAGGGUUUCGAUAGGAGCUAUGGUGGGUAUGGAAGGAGCGUUGAUGGGUCAAGAAUGCGAUGCUUGGUGUUGGUAUCUGGAAGAUGUAUAUUUGCUGCAUACACCUCAUGAGCCUGACUGGGUGAGACCAAAGCAUGUCCUCGAGAACGAGAAAGACAAGACGCUUCAGCUCACACCUAAUUAAGAAUAUGAUUUGAUUAAUGGACAGAUCCAAGCCAGCGAGGGCUUCGAUGUUGAUUGGACCAAGGCCCGCUGCCUUUACACGUACCAUCCUGUUGAAUUCGAUGAUGAUGAUUUUGUUGAUGAGCCUGGAGCGGAAACCAAUCCUGAAACCAAUCUUGAUCUACUCAACAGGCUCUGUGAGAAAUCCAUUGGUCACUACAAUCAGGAAAAUGCGAGUCUUAUUAAUGAUCAAUUGCUUUUUGCUUCUUCUUUACUGUUUUUUUUUUUUUUUAAUCUUUGUUUUCAAACAGAAUACAUCAUAUGAAUUUGACAAGGCUCUUUAUGCCAAUUUUCACGGGUCUAUUGGGAUCAUGUUUCUCAUAACUUUCCAAGUCAAGGAUCCUGUUGCUAACCUAGAAAAAGACUUCCAAGCUUGGAUUCAUUACUCUUAUUGUGGCAAGAGCCAGUUCAUCAUGUGCAGGCCAAAACACCACCAAGCAGAUAGCCUUGGAGUUGACGAGAGUGACCACAAGAAACAAAGACUGGAGUAGGAUUCUCCCUCUACUUGUGACAAAACUUACCAUCGACUCUUGGUUAUGUUUUUGUUUACUAUCUCUAGACUGUUCUUGCUGUCUUCUUGUAAGCAAAGCUACCUGUAGCGAAACUUGUAUCUAUCUCUCUACAUUCUAAAUGGCUCUACUCUCUUUUAGACUCUUAGUUAUAUUUUAUUUAAUUACUAUCUCGAAAAUUGUUUUUCA